GACGAACGCUGGCGGCGUGCCUAAUACAUGCAAGUCGAGCGCAGGAAACUGACGGAACUCUUCGGAGGGAAGGCAGUGGAAUGAGCGGCGGACGGGUGAGUAACACGUAAGGAACCUGCCUCAAGGAUUGGGAUAACUCCGAGAAAUCGGAGCUAACACCGGAUAGUUCAACGGACCGCAUGGUCCGCUGAUGAAAGGCGCUUCGGCGUCACCUUGAGAUGGCCUUGCGGUGCAUUAGCUAGUUGGUGGGGUAACGGCCCACCAAGGCGACGAUGCAUAGCCGACCUGAGAGGGUGAUCGGCCACACUGGGACUGAGACACGGCCCAGACUCCUACGGGAGGCAGCAGUAGGGAAUCUUCCACAAUGGACGAAAGUCUGAUGGAGCAACGCCGCGUGAGUGAUGAAGGUUUUCGGAUCGUAAAACUCUGUUGUAAGGGAAGAACACGUACGAGAGGUAAUGCUCGUACCUUGACGGUACCUUACGAGAAAGCCACGGCUAACUACGUGCCAGCAGCCGCGGUAAUAC
rnacentral:rRNA from 1 species